rnacentral:rRNA from 1 species
GAUGAACGCUGGCGGCGUGCCUAAUACAUGCAAGUCGAGCGAACGGACGAGAAGCUUGCUUCUCUGAUGUUAGCGGCGGACGGGUGAGUAACACGUGGAUAACCUACCUAUAAGACUGGGAUAACUUCGGGAAACCGGAGCUAAUACCGGAUAAUAUUUUGAACCGCAUGGUUCAAAAGUAAAAGACGGUCUUGCUGUCACUUAUAGAUGGAUCCGCGCUGCAUUAGCUAGUUGGUAAGGUAACGGCUUACCAAGGCAACGAUGCAUAGCCGACCUGAGAGGGUGAUCGGCCACACUGGAACUGAGACACGGUCCAGACUCCUACGGGAGGCAGCAGUAGGGAAUCUUCCGCAAUGGGCGAAAGCCUGACGGAGCAACGCCGCGUGAGUGAUGAAGGUCUUCGGAUCGUAAAACUCUGUUAUUAGGGAAGAACAUAUGUGUAAGUAACUGUGCACAUCUUGACUGUACCUAAUCAGAAAGCCACGGCUAACUACGUG